rnacentral:tRNA from 1 species
GAAGGAUUAGUUAAAUUAUAACAUCAGAAUGUCAAACUGAAAUAACCAAAAGGUACCCUUCU